rfam:Ornithorhynchus anatinus chromosome 2, whole genome shotgun sequence.
ACCCUACUCAGGAUCACACCUGGAGAGUUUCCAGUACUCUACCAGUCUUGGCUAUGGAAGGGAGAGUCAAGCAGAGGCAUACCCGUUCCAUUCCUAGCUUGGGCAGUGGCUAGCAAGUGGAAGGCAAUCUGCUGCAAGU